UACGGAAGGGGCAAGCGUUGUUCGGAAUCAUUGGGCGUAAAGGGCGCGUAGGUGGUCUUGUAUGUCUACCGUGAAAGCGUACGGCUCAACCGUAUUUAGUCGGUGGAAACUGCAGGACUUGAGGCUGGGAGGGGCUGGUGGAAUUCCCUGUGUAGCGGUGAAAUGCGUAGAGAUGGGGGAGAACACUCGUGGCGAAAGGCGGCCAGCUGGACCAGUUCUGACACUGAGGCGCGAUAGCGUGGGGAGCAAACAGG
rnacentral:rRNA from 1 species